UAAUAAUAUUUUCUAUUUAAUUUAUAAUCCUAUUAUAUUUAAUUUCUUGAUUUACAAUUUCUUUUUAAAUUUCUUGGAAAACCAAGCUUUACAAUGAUAAUUUCAAUAAUACGUUUCAUUUGGCAUCAAAAUUUUAGCAGAUGAAUGUUUUCUUAUCAAAUUUAGAGGAACUUAGAGGUAACAUCUAUUCUUUUAAUAAUAGAUAUAUGUCGAUAAAAAUAAGAUGUUUGAUAUUUAAAUUAGAUAAAUGUCACACAUGUACAUAGGAAAAAGAAGAAAAUAGGAAUGAGAAAACAAAACUAUUUAUAUUCUAUCCUAUCCUCUUUUCAUCAUCUUGUGGGAAAUGACUCAAUGCGAAUAAGUAAAUGACAAUUGUGGGGUAAUCAGACAAGAAAGCACAAAGACAAGGAGGAACUAAAAUUCUGGAAAGUGGGAAUAACUAACUUAUGAUCUUAGCUCAAAUUAAAUGCCAACCUCUAAAGAUUUGGCAGGAGAGAGAGAGAGAGAGGUCCCUUUUUUUCAGGACCCAUGUAUUGUUUGGGGGGUUGGGGAAAUGGAGUAGACUUUCUUGGUGAGAUGGAAAAAAUACAAUGUUAAGAUUUCUCUCUCUGUUCCAUUUGACAAUCACCAUUCAUUCUUGUUCUUCAUUGAGGGACAUUGGAUCAUUGAGAAGAGCAGUUAACGGGAGAUAUUGAGUUUCCGUAAUUCAUCGUUGUUGAAACAAAAAUGGAUUCAUCUCCUGGAACUGCUUCCUCCAAUGAUACUAAUUCUAGCGACAGCCCUCCUUCAAAUGGAACUCCCCCUUCAUCUUCAAAUUCAUCUUCACCGAAAAAUGAUUCUCCUCCCUCCUCUUCCUCCUCCCCGUCUUCAUCUCCACCGCCAAAAGAUCAAUCUCCGCCUUCAUCACCACCUUCACAAUCUCCUCCUCCAUCCAAUGAUGCAUCACCACCGCCACAAUCUCCUCCGCCUGCCUCACCACCUCCCUCGCAAUCUAAUUCAUCACCACCAAAAGAUAAUAGCCAAUCCCCUCCUCCGUCUAAUACGCCUCCCCAAUCACCACCACCAUCAUCAACCAAUACUCCAUCACCCCCAAAUGCUCCUAAACCACCAUCAGCGUCAUUAUUUUCUCCACCACCUCCUGUUUCUUCACGUGAACCACCUACAUCUCCUCGUGCAUAUUUGUCUCCUCCUUAUUCGAGAUCUAACCAACCAUCAGAAAAAUCACCUGGAAACAACAACUCUGAUUCCUCUUCCUCUGUGGGUAUAAUAGCUGGUAUUGCUGUGGGAGGCAUUGUCAUCAUCGCGCUUAUCAUUCUCUGUGUAUGGUGUAGUAGAAGGAAGAAGAAACAGAGAUAUUAUAUGGGUCCUGGACCUAAAGGCGGUGAUCAAUACUACAAUAAUAACAAUCAAUGGAAUAGACGUCAGUCGAUGGAUCACGUAAUGAAGGUACCACAAAGUGAAAUGGGGACUCAGGGUGGUUGGGCUGCAGCUACUCCACAUCAGGCAAAUAAUUCAAGUAGCGAAUUUGGCUCAGGUUUUACAGGCCAAGCAGUGCAAUUGCCUCCUCAAUCACCUAACAUGGCCGGACUUGGUGGGUUCUCCCAGAGUCAAUUCACUUAUGAGGAACUAGCUAAGGCAACAGAUGGAUUUUCUCAAGCCAAUGUGUUAGGACAAGGUGGGUUCGGAUACGUGCAUAAAGGUGUUUUGAAUGACGGAAGAGUCGUUGCCAUCAAGAGUUUGAAAGCAGGUAGUGGACAAGGAGAACGAGAAUUUCAGGCUGAGGUUGAGAUCAUUAGUAGAGUUCAUCAUCGUCAUCUUGUGUCCCUUGUUGGAUAUUGCAUUGCUAAUGGACAACGCAUGUUGGUCUAUGAAUAUGUUGACAACAAAACCUUGGAGUUCCACCUUCAUGGAAAAGGUCAACCUGUCAUGGACUGGGAAACUAGACUUAAAAUUGCUUUGGGAUCAGCCAAAGGACUGGCUUACCUACAUGAAGAUUGCCAGCAUAGAAUUAUCCACCGUGAUAUCAAGGCUGCAAACAUUCUACUAGACAUGAAUUAUGAAGCCUUGGUGGCAGAUUUUGGAUUGGCUAAGCUUACUUCUGAUAACAAUACUCAUGUAUCAACUCGUGUUAUGGGAACAUUUGGGUACUUAGCUCCUGAAUAUGCAUCUAGUGGCAAGCUAACAGAGAAAUCAGAUGUGUUUUCAUAUGGAGUCAUGUUGUUGGAACUCAUAACCGCAAAAAAACCUGUUGAUCCUAGCAAUAUGAUGGAGGACAGUUUAGUAGACUGGGCUAGGCCCCUUCUUACAAGAGCACUGGAAGAGGAAAAAUAUGAUGGAUUGGUAGACGCACGUCUUGAAGGGAACUAUGAUACAAAUGAGCUACAUCGCAUGAUAGCUUGUGCUGCUGCUAGCAUUCGCCAUUCUGCUAAAAAACGUCCCAAAAUGAGUCAGAUUGUACGUGCCUUGGAAGGCAAUUCAUCUUUGGAGGACUUGAACGAUAAUGCAAAGCCUAGCAAGACUCCUAGCUUUGCCGCGUCAAAUGGGUUACCCACUCAGGCCUAUGAUACUGGUAUGUAUAAUGCUGACAUGAUGAAGUUCAGGAAAAUGAUUCUGCCAACCCAAGAAUUCAACAACAGUGAACAUGGAAAUCCAAGUGAUUAAUGAAUCAGCCAUUGUUCCUUCUCCUCCUCAAGCAGCGAUUCCACUCGGUGGCGAGAGUAAAAAAGAAAGACCAAAAGCUUGAGAUAUUUUUCAGAACACUUCAGAUGAUUCUUGGCUAGAACUGCAAUUCAAAUACAAUUUCCUACAAAAAUGCUGAAGAUCUUUAUGUUUACGAUAUACUGAUCGGUCAAAAGAAGGGGAAGAAGGAUUGGAAAACAAGAAGUUGAAACAGUGAAAAUGAUGUAGCUGUAAAUUGCUAUAAAAGAGACCACAGUGGAGAAAAGCUGAAACUUUUUGAGUGUUUUCUAUUUUCUGGAUGGAUACAAAUGCACAAUGUGCCUCCUAUUUA